GAUGAACGCUGGCGGUAUGCUUAACACAUGCAAGUCGAACGGUCUCUUCGGAGAUAGUGGCGGACGGGUGAGUAACGCGUGAGAACAUGCCUUUAGAUUGGGGACAACAGUUGGAAACGACUGCUAAUACCGAAUGUGCCUUAGGGUGAAAGAUUUAUUGUCUAGAGAUUGGCUCGCGUCAGAUUAGCUAGUUGGAGUGGUAACGGCACACCAAGGCGACGAUCUGUACUUGGUCUGAGAGGAUGACCAGGCACACUGGAACUGAGACACGGUCCAGACUCCUACGGGAGGCAGCAGUGGGGAAUUUUCCGCAAUGGGCGAAAGCCUGACGGAGCAAUACCGCGUGAGGGAGGACGGCUUUUGGGUUGUAAACCUCUUUUAUCAGGGAAGAAUCGAUGACGGUACCUGAUGAAUCAGCAUCGGCUAACUCCGUGCCAGCAGCCGCGGUAAUACGGAGGAUGCAAGCGUUAUCCGGAAUUAUUGGGCGUAAAGCGUCCGUAGGUGGUUUAUCAAGUCUGCUGUCAAAGCGUGCGGCUUAACCGCAUAAGGGCAGUGGAAACUGAUGAACUAGAGUGCGAUAGGGGUAACAGGAAUUCCCAGUGUAGCGGUGAAAUGCGUAGAUAUUGGGAAGAACACCAGCGGCGAAAGCGUGUUACUGGGUCUGCACUGACACUGAGGGACGAAAGCUAGGGGAGCGAAAGGGAUUAGAUACCCCUGUAGUCCUAGCCGUAAACGAUGACAACUAGGCGUGGUUCGUAUCGACCCGAGCCGUGCCGUAGCCAACGCGUUAAGUUGUCCGCCUGGGGAGUACGCACGCAAGUGUGAAACUCAAAGGAAUUGACGGGGGCCCGCACAAGCGGUGGAGUAUGUGGUUUAAUUCGAUGCAACGCGAAGAACCUUACCAAGGCUUGACAUCCUCGGAACCCUGAUGAAAGUUAGGGGUGCCUUCGGGAGCCGAGAGACAGGUGGUGCAUGGCUGUCGUCAGCUCGUGUCGUGAGAUGUUGGGUUAAGUCCCGCAACGAGCGCAACCCACGUUUUUAGUUGCCAGCAUUCAGUUGGGCACUCUAGAGAGACUGCCGGUGACAAACCGGAGGAAGGUGUGGAUGACGUCAAGUCAGCAUGCCCCAUACGCCUUGGGCUACACACGUACUACAAUGCGUCGGACAAAGAGCAGCCAGCCAGCGAUGGUGAGCCAAUCUCAUAAACCGACGCUCAGUUCAGAUUGCAGGCUGCAACUCGCCUGCAUGAAGGCGGAAUCGCUAGUAAUCGCAGGUCAGCAUACUGCGGUGAAUACGUUCCCGGGCCUUGUACACACCGCCCGUCACACCAUGGGAGUUGGUCACGCCCGAAGUCGUUACUCUAACUGCUUGCAGAGGAGGACGCCGAAGGUGGGGCUGAUGACUGGGGUGAA
rnacentral:rRNA from 2 species